AUCGGCGAGCUGGGGAAGCGGAAUGGCCUCCAAAGCCGUUUGCCAGGGGGUUCGAGUCCCUCCGCCGGUG
rnacentral:tRNA from 1 species